GUAGGGCGCGAGCGUUGUCCGGAAUUAUUGGGCGUAAAGGGCUUGUAGGCGGCUGGUCGCGUCUGCCGUGAAAUCCUCUGGCUCAGCUGGGGGCGUGCGGUGGGUACGGGCUGGCUUGAGUGCGGUAGGGGAGACUGGAACUCCUGGUGUAGCGGUGGAAUGCGCAGAUAUCAGGAGGAACACCGGUGGCGAAGGCGGGUCUCUGGGCCGUUACUGACGCUGAGGAGCGAAAGCGUGGGGAGCGAACAGGAUUAGAUACCCUGGUAGUCCACGCUGUAAACGUUGGGCACUAGGUGUGGGGGGCCUUUUCCGGGUUUUCCGCGCCGUAGCUAACGCAUUAAGUGCCCCGCCUGGGGAGUACGGCCGCAAGGCUA
rnacentral:rRNA from 1 species